AGUGAACGCUGGCGGUAUGCCUAACACAUGCAAGUCGAACGGCAGCACACUAAGGGCUUGCUCUUACGGGUGGCGAGUGGCGGACGGGUGAGGAAUACAUCGGCAUCUACUUUUUCGUGGGGGAUAACGUAGGUAAACUUACGCUAAUACCGGAUACGACCUACGGGUGAAAGCAGGGGAUCUUCGGACCUUGCGCGAUUGAAUGCUCCGAUGUUGGAUUUGCUAGUUGGCGGGGUAAAGGCCCACCAAGGCGACGAUCCGUAGCUGGUCUGAGAGGAUGAUAAGCCACACUGGAACGGAGACACGGUCAAGACUCCUAAGGGAGGGACCAGUGGGGAAUGUUGGACAACGGGGGGAAGCAUGAUCCAGCGAUCCCGCGUGUGUUAAGAAGGCCUCCGGGUUGUAAUGACCGUUUGUUGGGAAAGAAAAGCAGCAGGUUAAUACCAAGCUGUACUGACGGUACCCAAAGAAUAAGCACCGGCUAACUUCGUG
rnacentral:rRNA from 1 species